CCCGCUGAACUUAAGCAUAUUAAUAAGCGGAGGAAAAGAAACUAACCAGGAUUCCCUCAGUAAUGGCGAAUGAAGUGGGAAGAGCUCAGGUUUUAAAUCUGGCAGCUGCGCUGCCCGAAUUGUAGUCUUGGGGAGCGGCAUCUCGGACAGGCACCCAGCAUAAGUCUCUUGGAACAGAGCGCCAGAGAGGGUGAUAGCCCCGUUCACGGCUGGGGAGAAACUCCUGUCCUACAAGUUGCCGAUCUUUAGAGUCGGGUUGUUUGGGAAUGCAGCCUUAAGUGGGUCGUAAAUUCGAUCUAAAGCUAAAUAAUGGUCAGAGACCGAUAGCGAACAAGUAGCGCGAGCGAAAGAUGAAAAGAACUUUGAAAAGAGGGUCAAAAGGUCUUGAAAUCGUUAAAAAGGAAACGAAUGGGUCCAGUACUGACCCGCGGACGAGUCACGCAGCCAGGGCGUCGCUUGUCCGCCGGGGAGGCUCCUCACGGGGGUCACCCGGCGGAACACGCCGCGUCCACGGCUGCGGUACUUCAGCCGCGGGUUGGUCAGCAUCGGUCCGCCCGGCCUGGGAGAAAGGCGGCGGGAAGGUAGCAGGUCGCCUCGCGAGGGGCGAUCUGCGUUACAGAUCGCCGUCCAUACCGCCGGGGACGAAAAAACAACGGACCGAGGAGAAGCCUGCAGCGCGUGCCCCUCAGGGCUGGGCUCUGCGGGUCUAUCGCGGGUGACGUCGCGUGGGACAGGUACUGUGCCGCGCGGCGCCCGCCUGCGAGUGGGCCCGCAUCCACACCACGCGCUCAAGAUGCUGACAAAAUGGAUUCAUCCGACCCGUCUUGAAACACGG
rnacentral:rRNA from 1 species